CGGGGCCAGACGACGGUCGCCCCGUCAGGCUCGCGAGGCCCAAGCGCCGU
rnacentral:ncRNA from 1 species